UUAUAGCAAUCCAAUAUUCACAUUUGUAUUAUGCUAACAUAGUAUCACUCAUUUGCCACCUUACAGUGGCAUCAGUAAUCAAAUAUACAUAUUUGAUUUUUAACAUGAAUUUUAGUGGUCUUCAUUACUUAUACAUGUACACAAGCAUAAGACUCUUGAUCGUCAGCUAAGUGACUUUAAAUGAAGGUACCGCAACUGAGGUGCCAUAGUACCUACCAAAAAGA
rnacentral:lncRNA from 1 species